AGGACGAACGCUGGCGGCGUGCCUAAUACAUGCAAGUCGAACGGUCUUUCUAUGGAAGCUUGCUCCACUGAGAAGAUAGUGGCGAACGGGUGAGUAACACGUGGGUAACCUGCCCAUAAGAGGGGGAUAACAUCCGGAAACGGGUGCUAAUACCGCAUAGUUUUCUUGAUCGCAUGAUUGAGAAAGGAAAGACGGCCUUUGUGCUGUCGCUUAUGGAUGGACCCGCGGCGUAUUAGUUAGUUGGUGAGGUAACGGCUCACCAAGACGAUGAUACGUAGCCGACCUGAGAGGGUGAUCGGCCACAUUGGGACUGAGACACGGCCCAAACUCCUACGGGAGGCAGCAGUAGGGAAUCUUCCGCAAUGGACGAAAGUCUGACGGAGCAACGCCGCGUGAGUGAAGAAAGGUUUUCGGAUCGUAAAACUCUGUUGUCAGAGAAGAACAAGUUGGAGAGUAACUGCUUUAGCCUUGACGGUAUCUGACCAGAAAGCCACGGCUAACUACGUGCCAGCAGCUGC
rnacentral:rRNA from 1 species